UACGAAGGGGGCUAGCGUUGUUCGGAAUCACUGGGCGUAAAGGGCGCGUAGGCGGCCGAUCAAGUCGGGGGUGAAAGCCUGUGGCUCAACCACAGAAUUGCCUUCGAUACUGUUUGGCUUGAGACCGGAAGAGGUUAGUGGAACUGCGAGUGUAGAGGUGAAAUUCGUAGAUAUUCGCAAGAACACCAGUGGCGAAGGCGGCUCACUGGCCCGAUACUGACGCUGAGGCGCGAAAGCGUGGGGAGCAAACAGG
rnacentral:rRNA from 1 species